UCAGUCGACUCCUACGGGAGGCAGCAGUGGGGAAUCUUGGACAAUGGGGGGCAAACCCUGAUCCAGCCAUGCCGCGUGAGUGAUGAAGGCCUUAGGGUCGUAAAGCUCUUUCGCCUGUGAAGAUAAUGACGGUAGCAGGUAAAGAAAACCCCGGCUAAACUCCGUGCCAGCAGCCGCGGUAAUACGGAGGGGGUUAGCGUUGUUCGGAAUUACUGGGCGUAAAGCGCACGUAGGCGGAUCGGAAAGUUGGGGGUGGAAAUACCCGGGGCGUCAACCCCGGAACCGGACCUCCAAAACUAAUCGGUCUAGAGUUCGAGAGAGGUGAGUGGAAUUCCGAGUGUAGAGGUGAAAUUCGUAGAUAUUCGGAGGAACACCAGUGGCGAAGGCGGCUCACUGGCUCGAUACUGACGCUGAGGUGCGAAAGUGUGGGGAGCAAACAGGAUUAGAUACCCUGGUAG
rnacentral:rRNA from 1 species